rnacentral:rRNA from 1 species
UACGGAGGGUGCAAGCGUUAUCCGGAUUCACUGGGUUUAAAGGGUGCGUAGGUGGGUUGGUAAGUCAGUGGUGAAAUCUCCAGGCUUAACUUGGAAACUGCCAUUGAUACUAUCAAUCUUGAAUACCGUGGAGGUCAGCGGAAUAUGUCAUGUAGCGGUGAAAUGCUUAGAUAUGACAUAGAACACCAAUUGCGAAGGCAGCUGGCUACACAAAUAUUGACACUGAUGCACGAAAGCGUGGGGAUCAAACAGG